rnacentral:rRNA from 1 species
CAAUAGCGUAUAUUAAAGUUGUUGCAGUUAAAAAGCUCGUAGUUGGAUUUCGGGGCAGCCUGGCUGGUCCGCCGCAAGGCGAGUACUGGUCAGCCGCCCUUCCUCUCGAAAGCCCCGACUGCUCUUUAUUGCAGUGGUCGGGUAGUUCGGGACGUUUACUUUGAAAAAAUUAGAGUGUUCAAGGCAGGCCUACGCCUGAAUACAUUAGCAUGGAGUAAUGGAAGAGGACCUCGGUCCUAUUUUGUUGGUUUCCAGGACCGAAGUAAUGAUUAAGAGGGACAGUUGGGGGCAUUCGUAUUUAAUUGUCAGAGGUGAAAUUCUCGGAUCUAUGAAAGACGAACAACUGCGAAAGCAUUUGCCAAGGAUGUUUUCAUUAA